GAAGAUUCAGGAGGUAGACCCACGUGUAUCGUCUUACCUAUGUGAUAUUGGCUAUCAUAGAUGGUCAAGAGUACAUGCAACGGCGAAUAGAACUUUUAUUAUGACGUCAAACAUUGCAGAGUCGUUGAACGCUGUAACAAAGGAGGCAAGAGAGCUGCCAAUAUUUGAUCUAUUGGAGUAUAUGAGGACUAUUCUAGNNN
rnacentral:lncRNA from 1 species